AAAACAGAAAGCACACAGAGUCCUGGAUUUGAGCGACAGAAUUCAAAUCGUUGAGGAGACUAACAUAAAGAAGAACAGGACACAAGAGAAGGAGAAGAUGAUCUGCAGCAUCCUGCUGCUCAUCAUCCUCACCUCAUGUGUCUCUGCAGCAACAGACUGGCCAGAACCUGAGAGAAAAUCCGAAACAUCACUCACAGAAAGUUGAGACAAUGAUUCAGUCUCAGUCUUCACACAAACUGAUGUUUUGAGUUUUCUGCAGUUUAAUUACUUUUUGAGUUUUCAUUUCUCUUGAACUCUGUUUUUCCUAUAACAGCUGUUUUAAAAAAAUGUAUAUUUUAUCUUCACAUCUAAUUCUGUUCAUGCGUGGAGUUUGUUUUAUCUUUUCUUCCUCGACCUCCUGAGUCUUCCUGUCUCCUUUGUGUUUCCAUGUGUCAUUCAGUCUCUAUGUUUGUCUUUUUGUGUCGAACUAGUCUCAUUUCGCAGUUCUGUUGUGUCGGUCUUCAUGUUUUAAUUUCGUGAUUGUUGUUCUCUGUUGUUCUGUUUUGCAUUAAUUUCCACUUACCUUGUCUCAUUUUUUGGAUUACUUUCAGCUGUCCCCCAACUCUUACUUCUACCCUAAAACUGAAACACACAACAGUUGAGAUCGGUUUCAUUAAAAUAUGAGUUUUACUGCUGAGCAGCAGAGCGGGACUCAACUCUAAAAAGUAAGAGUGAGAACAGAGGGAGAGCAGAGAGAGAGAGAGUUAUGGUUAAUUUUUUUGUGUGAAAUAGAAACGUUUUCACUGCCAUAUAAAACAAGUUUAACCUGAAAAAUAUGCACAGCUCCUCUUUAAAAAAAAUCCCGACAGCAGCUCAAAAAAAAUAAAAUCUCUAAAUGAGGUAUUUAUAAUAAUAAUGUGUUACUCAUUAUUAUGACAGGGAAGUUGU